AGUGAACGCUGGCGGCAGGCCUAAUACAUGCAAGUCGAACGGCAGCACAGCAGAGCUUGCUCUGUGGGUGGCGAGUGGCGGACGGGUGAGGAAUACAUGGGAAUCUGCCCAGUCGUGGGGGAUAACGUAUGGAAACGUACGCUAAUACCGCAUGCGCCCUAAGGGGGAAAGCCGGGGACCGCAAGGCCUGGCGCGAUUGGAUGAGCCCAUGUUCGAUUAGCUAGUUGGCGGGGUAAAGGCCCACCAAGGCGACGAUCGAUAGCUGGUCUGAGAGGAUGAUCAGCCACACUGGAACUGAGACACGGUCCAGACUCCUACGGGAGGCAGCAGUAGGGGAAUAUUGGACAAUGGGGGCGAACCCUGAUCCAGCCAUGCCGCGUGAGUGAAGAAGGCCCUCGGGUUGUAAAGCUCUUUGUCCGGAAAGAAAGCAAUCGGUUAAUACCCGGUUGUUCUGACGGUACCGGAAGAAUAAGCACCGGCUAACUUCGUGCCAGC
rnacentral:rRNA from 1 species